CUCCAAGCUGAGCGGUUCGAGAAUGAAGCCUUGGGGAACCACAAGUUCUGCAACAUGGUUGGAACCAAGUCAGUACCCCCCUCCAGAAAAUCAUAAAAUGAAUUGAAGCUGCAGCUGGUUUGGACCCUUCUGACCACUUGGUGGCGCCGCAGCUCCACAUCUCGUCAGAAAACCUCCUCUGCUUGUUUGGAAACAAAGGAAUCAGUGGAUCUCCAUGUCGAGGGUAGGACAUGAAAGAGGCGAGCAGACCCUGAACAACAAGGAAGGGAAGGCUGCAGACAGACGGGCGCUCUGACUGACACAGAUGUGCUGCGUCAAACAAGACAAACCGAUAAUAAAGAG